rnacentral:lncRNA from 1 species
CACUGCUAUUCCCCUUUCACCUAAAUCCCUCUGUGCACAGCAACUGAAAGUCUGAUAACCAUUAAAACAACCCACACCAAAGAGCCUUAAACCUCUGCUGUGUUCCCUUGUAACUCCACACCUGGAGACUGGAGUCGGUGUCUUUAAUCUGUAUCUGAGAUAAAACAGGAUGUUUCAGAGAGGUGGAGAAGAGGUUGGGUUCUCACAAGCUGAGAAACCCCAGAAAAAUGGCCUGGCCUGAUUUCUGAAGGUAGAGAAGCCCUGAGCAUGCAAAAAUGCUCAGCACCUGGAUUGGCCUUGUCUGUCAUAUCAGGUUCAAAGCAGCAUGGAUUCCAGACACAAUGUCAGCUCUAGGUCUUUAGAGCAGAAGUGCUAAGAACCACGUAGAAACAGUGCCCCUGAGGCUCUGAGUUUGUCUUCUCUGGCUU